AGCAAUACUGCUCUAGUAAGGUAUGGAUACGAAUGCUAGGUCAAUAAAGUCUCUCUGCACCCUACUUCGAUUGAAUACGUCCCCGGCGUACAGAACGGUAAUGUCUCUCCAAAUAACAUGUUGGGG
rnacentral:ribozyme from 1 species